rnacentral:lncRNA from 1 species
AUACUUGACCCGGACCAGGAUUCUGAUGUAGCUGAGGUUGUUGAUGGUAUCCCAUUGGUACUUGAUUGUAUUGUUGAAUAUACUGACCCGGCAUUUGACCCGGCAUUUGAACCAUAUAAUCACCAGGCUGAAGCAUGUGAUUUGCCGGUCGAACCAUCGGAUUACCUCGGUGAAUUGAACCAGGAACGUAAUAAACCGGUGUUUGGUGAUGAACUUGUGGUGGACCAGCGGGGAAUUGCCAUUGCGAGUAAACCGGUUGAUGAUUACUCUGUUGAAUUACUUGCUCCGGUUGAGGAUCGGCUUUAGGAGUCGAAACCGGUUCUGGGCUUUCCGGUUUAGUUUGAACCGGUAGAAGUUCCGGUGUAGAAGAUCUCAUCACCGGGGCAGAGGAGGUCGAACCAUACGGCGAAGGAACAUCGCGACGAGGCGAACCAGGAUCUGAAAGCGUCGAGACUUCUCGACGGAUCUUAGCUCUCGGAUCACGAUCACGAAGCUCAUGCGGCGGAGCAGAUUCGUCGAAAUUAUCCAGUCCAAAGAGGUA